UGAGGCACCGCCAGAAUUACGGGUGUGAACGAAAGUGAAUAGGCACGAAGUAUGCGACCGACAAGCUCCAAGCCU
rnacentral:tRNA from 1 species